CAGUAGCCGCGGUAAUGCGGAGGGUGCAAGCGUUAUCCGGAUUCACUGGGUUUAAAGGGUGCGUAGGCGGGCAGGUAAGUCAGUGGUGAAAUCUUCGAGCUUAACUCGGAAACUGCCGUUGAUACUAUCUGUCUUGAAUAACAUUGAGGUGAGCGGAAUAUGUCAUGUAGCGGUGAAAUGCUUAGAUAUGACAUAGAACACCGAUUGCGAAGGCAGCUCACUAAACGCUCAUUGACGCUGAGGCACGAAAGCGUGGGGAUCAAACAGGAUUAGAGACCCCUGUAGUCCCUGUCUCUUAUAA
rnacentral:rRNA from 1 species